rnacentral:rRNA from 1 species
GAUGAACGCUGGCGGCGUGCCUAAUACAUGCAAGUCGAGCGAACAGACGAGGAGCUUGCUCCUUCGACGUUAGCGGCGGACGGGUGAGUAACACGUAGGUAACCUACCUAUAAGACUGGGAUAACUUCGGGAAACCGGAACUAAUACCGGAUAAUAUUUCGAACCGCAUGGUUCGAUAGUGAAAGAUGGCUUUGCUAUCACUUAUAGAUGGACCUGCGCCGUAUUAGCUAGUUGGUAAGGUAACGGCUUACCAAGGCAACGAUACGUAGCCGACCUGAGAGGGUGAUCGGCCACACUGGAACUGAGACACGGUCCAGACUCCUACGGGAGGCAGCAGUAGGGAAUCUUCCGCAAUGGGCGAAAGCCUGACGGAGCAACGCCGCGUGAGUAAUGAAGGUCUUCGGAUCGUAAAACUCUGUUAUUAGGGAAGAACAAACGUGUAAGUAACUGUGCACGUCUUGACGGUACCUAAUCAGAAAGCCACGGCUAACUACGUG